UAUCACUUAUGUCAGACUAUAUAAAUUAUAGUAUUAUUAUUUGCGUUUUUUUUCAUUAGUUAAGCGAGUAGAAGUAUAUAAUAUAAUUAAUAAAAUGUUACCUCGAAUACAAAAUAAAAAUACAUGAAAACGAAUGUUGGUAGGCGACCUGUGCAAUAACAGUAGAACGUGCCCACCUCAAGGCGGACAUACUUCUUUGACAUAACCUAAUGCUGUAACGUGGAUAUAUAUGAAAGUGCGUUAUAAACGGUUUAAAAACAAACACGACGUCAAAGACGAUGAUGCUGUUGACGGUGACAACAUGUAGAACGUCAGAGUUGUGGACGAGAACAUAGCCACAAUCAGGAUAGUACGUCGGUAGCUACUAUUCAAGCGUCAAAGAACAUACCUUACUUGCCGUUAGUAGUAAUACCAAAGCCUCUGUUGUACCCUAGUCUCUCUAGAAUUUUCAAGGACUUACGCAAAUGUGGUAGAUAACACUGAAGUGUACGACGUUGGGAUUUUGAGAUGAAAUAAUGAAACCCGAGAAUUCGGCGAUAAAUUACACAUUGAUUGGAUUAAAUUGACUAAACCUUAUUUUGAAGAUCCAGUUAUUUAUAAAAUUACCGAGAACAAUUUCUUUUUUUUACGGAAUCAUGAAUUUCCUGUGAUCAUAAUGAAGUUGUUGACAAGCAGGUUGAACUGUAAUGGAAUUCUGUAAACAACAAUCAAAUAUUAAGUUUUCAAAUAAAUAUAUAAUUUUUAAACAGUAAGAUUUGCAUAAUAAGUGUACUCUUAUACUACCCAAGUUGUAAAAAAAUGUUUUAUAAACGUAUGUAAACCGUCACAAUGCAUCUACUGUAACACAUAAUGCAAAUAAAAUAUUUAGAAACAUCAUUAAAAUA